AUGGGAUACUACUUGGAACCUGAAAUAGAUUUGAAACAUUAAUUUGCAUAGUGCAUCUUCCCUGCUGCUCUAAGAGCAUUUAUAUCCCUGUGAGUUUAACACUUCAUGACUGAGAGCUGUUCUUCAUGACAACAGAGCCCACAACAACCAUGACUUUUAUCACCAUCUUCAUCUGGACACUUGCCUUCUGCUUUCAAGAAUCCAGAGGACAGUACACUGUGAUUCAGACUCCUACAGUGAAAGCUGUUCUGCCAAGACAGACAGUCACUCUUGACUGUAAAACCAGCAGUGAUGUUCACGGUGGUUACUAUCUAGCCUGGUACCAACAGAAACCUGGAGGAGUUCCUAAACUCCUUAUUUACUAUGCUACAACACUUCAGUCUGGGACUCCAUCUAGAUUCAGUGGCAGUGGAUCUGGGAGUGACUUCACUCUGACCAUCAGUGGAGUCCAGGCUGCAGAUGCAGGAGAUUACUACUGUCAGAGUUACCACAGUGGUCCAGUGUUCACACAGUGAUACAGAGUCGUACAAAAACCUCCCUCAGUCAGACUGCACAGUGACUGUACUGAUACAGCUGGGACCUACUGCAGGUGCUGAGGAGGAA